AUGGCAAUGGGUCCAAGACCCGACCCAGAUUCGGUUGGACCCGGUCCAUUUUUAUGGGUCUGGGUCCAAGAAAAUUAGACCCAAUGGAUCUGGGUCGGAUCUGGAUCUAUGAGUUGUGGGUCGGGUCUGGAUCUGGGUCCAAAAGUUCCAGACCCAGAUCCGACCCAGAUCCGAUAUGGGAUCCGAACUUUUUUUUAAAAAUAAAAUAAAUUCUCUUUUAGUUUAAUCUAACCUAAUUAAAUAACCUAAAGAACAAAUUCUCUAAAAACUUAAAUCGCCGCGUCUACUGAACCCUUCGUCCCCUACCCCCCUCUCUCUUCGCAAUCUCUGAUGAUGGUCAUUGGUCCGACUAACCAGAAGUCGAUGUCGUCCAUGUAAAUCCAGUCCAUGUAAACCAGAAUUUGGCAAAGAAAUUAAGGAUCUGCUACCUUUCCAGAGGAUCUUGAUGAUGAUAUAGAGGAUUAAGAGAUAUAGAGGAUUAAGAGCAUAUUGGACGAUGAAAAUUGGUGCGAUGGUGCAAGCUACUAAGUUAUUGUGUGAUGAUUUGCACUUUGCUAAUUAUUUCCUUGAGUUUGUAGCUUUGUACUAACUAUUUUCUAAUAUUUGAAGGGAAUGCAAAUGUAUUCGACUAGAA